rnacentral:lncRNA from 1 species
AAGCAUUCACAACUAAUCUCUCAAAACACACAUAGAUGGCUAUUUAUACAAAAGAAAACAAGAUGCUUGUCAAGAGUCCCCCUCCUACUUCUUACUAUGGUCCAAUCAAUUGGAUCGACUUGCCCUUAUUUUCUACGAUUGGUCAUGAUGAGAUAUCCUACUAAUUAGAUCUAACAACCAGUCUUUACUACCACAGUCACUAAUCCCAUCUAUAU